CAAUAGCGUAUAUUUAAGUUGUUGCAGUUAAAAAGCUCGUAGUUGGAUUUCUGUCAAGGACAACUGGUCCGCCCCUCGGGUGAGCACAUAGUUUGGUCUUGGCAUCUUGUUGGAAACUGUUGCUGCACUUGGUUGUGUGGCGCAGUGUCCAGCACUUUCACUUUGAGGAAAUUGGAGUGUUUCAAGCAGGCACAUGCCUUUGGACACAGUAGCAUGGAAUAAUUAGAUUGGGCUUUUGCUCCAACUUGUCGGUUUCUGGAGCUGAGGUGAGAAUUAAUGGGGAUUGUUGGGGGCAUCCGAAUUUAGCCGUCAGAGGUGAAAUUCUUGGAUCUGCUAAAGACGGACAACUGCGAAAGCGUUUGCCCAGGAUGUUUUCAUUGA
rnacentral:rRNA from 1 species